CGGGUGACACCGCCUGGAGCCGGCUUUCCAAGGCGCUAGUACCGGCGUUGCCCUACAAGAAGGGUCGCACGCCCCUCGUCCUGUCCCAUCCCGUCCUUGAAGCGCUGCGUGUGGCCCCUCGCCCCCUCCGCCCCUUCGAGGCGAGGGCUCGUUGGGGACGGGGGCGCGUUUUGGGAAGGCGGGGGGGGCUGCCUGGGGGGUACCCCCCGCCGUACGUCGGUCAGGGACCCUCAGCAGCGCGGCGUGCCCCGCAAUGAAAGGCUCUUUAACUUCCACCAUUCAUUUCCCCUUCCUGGCUACUCCUGCGAACAGGGAGCGUGUUGUGGCAGCGCACGUUUUUCCUUCUCCAAACUUAAAUUCAACCAUCUUGAAGAUGCUUCCAGGGACAGCGUCGGAUCAAGCUUUGCAUCUGAAGCGCUGACCAAUAGCAAUGGUGUGUGCACGCCAGGGAGCAGGAACACAUAACAGGUGCCUCCCACACACCAGGAAAUCAAUUGAAACGGAGAGCUCUUGAUAUUUUUAACGGAUUGGGCCCCUGGUAUGCAGAACCUUACAUAAACUCUGUCAUUUUUUUUUUUGUGAAGUGGAAAAGUUGGUUUUUGAAGGAGAAAUGUGAAAGAGCAAGAACCAUUCUGAUGAGUUACAGGGACAAGAAGACACUCACUAGAACUGGUGACUUUGAUCUUCUGAACAUGGUCAAGUGUGAAUGUAAUGAAGAGUUUACUUGCCUGACAGGCACAUUUAAAAGAAAGAAAAAAAAUAAAGUAAACCAAAAUAAAACAGUUUAAAUAAAUACUAUUUA